UUAAUGUUAGAAAAUCUGUAAGGAACUCGUUCGUCAUGUAAAACAAUUUGAUAAUGUCUCAAAAUUCUUGUUAAACAGGUUCCAAUGGCAAUACUUGUGAUCAACAAGCUGAUCUACAAGUAUGCGAUGAUACUGAAACCGUAGAUAAUGAUGAAUUGCCAAUCUCUAGCGGUAAGAAAGCAUCUAAAAGGAAGAGAGUUGGUAAAGUCAAGUAGAAAAGAAAGACUGGGGACCAAUACGAUGAUGAAACAAGUGAAGCCCAUGUAUUAAGUCAAGCUGAAUCUGAAGACAAUAGUGUCUUGCCACCCCUCAAACAGGAAAAAUCAUCAGAUGAGCACAGCAAGAGGCUCAAGCAGAAAAAGAGCAAGAAGAUUUUGCCAUGAAGGAAGCAUGCCGGCCAUCAAGAAAGUUGUGGUGAAGGAUGGGUGAGUCCGUGAUAAUUCCAUAAUUUGUGAUGACCAGGACUGAGCCCACCACCACCCACCAGCUAGAUGAGUCUUGCUAAACUUGCUCGAGAUGUCCAAUUCUUUGAGAAUUUGCAUCGCACAAAGAUCUUAAAAAUAGUGGUUUCGAAGGUAAAAUUAAUGAAUUGCAUUUCUCUGUGGUUACGGAGAAUUGUGAUAGUUAUAUGCAAUUAGAAUUUUGAUUUGCAUAUGGGUUACAGAGGAUUCUCCACGAGUCAUUUGUAGGCAAAGUGAUUGCUUGUGCACAAAAACCUGAUUCACAUAAUGCCGAAUUAUAUAACUUGCAGUCCACACGUCACCAAUAUUUACCCAUGACGAUAACAAAAGAUCUGACCCGCAAAUACAAAACAAGCCAUUGAAGGGUAAGGACAUUUUGUUAAGUAUGAAAAGAUACAGCAUAAUUACAGCUGCUACACAAUGACCGGGUAGAGAAAAUGAUAGUUAGAUAGAUGCAUCAUCAAAACAACCAACAACAACAGUGGAAUCGAGUGUAAAAUUAGACUACAUCACACGAUUCAAGCUCGAAUUAGAAACCCUUACAUUUCAGUUGCCUAAGUUAGUCACCAUCGCAAACGAAUGUAUGAUGUUGGCCCUCGACCAAGACGGCUGCAUCUAACCUUUCUCUUCAGCUGCAUAUAAUACCACCACCAUGGUGGAUAUGGAACUCUUAGUGUUCCAUGAGAGCAGCAUCAGUUUCAGAUAAUGGUGCUGCAGAAGAAAAGAAAAAGGUUGCCACAGUUAGCGGUGUAGUAAUCAGGAACAAGAACUAUGAGCAAUGCACUCAGCCAACAGAGUGGACAGUGAAGACCAAAAUCAACACCCACACUAGGCAGUUUGAAAAAAAUAAUACCAACACAUGCCUGGAAAUAUUAACCAUACCGAGCAAGUCCUCGUAUGCAUCUUGGAAGAAUGAUGAUUCCAGUAACAAUGGAGGUGAGAAAACUUGAUCCAGAGUGUCGUUGACUUCAGGAUGCAUUCUUUGUAUUUUUUCAGUGGAUGGUUGGAACAGCCUGGCCAGGUUUUUGUUCUCCUUCAGUCCAUUCAAUCUAUUUAACAUAUCUGGAAUGAAGCUUUGCUGGCUAUUGGCAUUACAGGAAAGAUCUGUCAUGUUCAUCGGGGCCUGAACUUCUGGUGGUGAGGAGAAAACCAGUUGUUGAUUUCUCCAGUUGUAGUAAUCAGGAACAUCGUCGAUUUCUUUCUGAAAAGCAGCAUCUGUUGUUGAUAGAGGUGAAAGCUAAUGAAGGGGAGGGCUCGGAACUGCUUCGUAGUGCAUCUGACAGCAGUAGCAGUGGGCAUGCGGAAUCACUCGCUGCAACUCUUGCAGAACAUCGCCAACAUUUAGUUUGCAUACAGGUCUAGUGAUACCAGGAUAACACUAAUCAUUUACGGGCUAGUCCUCCCUGUAAAAUUUCAGACCUUUAUCCCUUUACUUUUAUGAUAAUCCUUUUACUAAUUCAUGGGCAAUUCUAUUUUUCA